rnacentral:rRNA from 1 species
AGAGUUUGAUCCUGGCUCAGGAUGAACGCUAGCUACAGGCUUAACACAUGCAAGUCGAGGGGAAACGACAUCGAAAGCUUGCUUUUGAUGGGCGUCGACCGGCGCACGGGUGAGUAACGCGUAUCCAACCUGCCCAUCACUUGGGGAUAACCUUGCGAAAGUAAGACUAAUACCCAAUGACGUCUCUAGAAGACAUCUGAAAGAGAUUAAAGAUUUAUCGGUGAUGGAUGGGGAUGCGUCUGAUUAGCUUGUUGGCGGGGUAACGCCACAAGGCGACGAUCAGUAGGGGUUCUGGAGAGGAACGGUCCCCCACAUUGGAACUGGAGACACGGUACCCAAACUCCGUACGGGAAGCA